rfam:Gossypium hirsutum cultivar TM-1 chromosome 22, whole genome shotgun sequence
AAUCCAUGGUGUGGGCACUUCCUUAGCAUCGAAUUGUAGUGCUCCCGUGCUUCAUACAGGGAUUCACCUUCAUAUUGUUUAAAAUUGGAGAUUUCUCGCCUAAGUUG